rnacentral:misc_RNA from 1 species
GAAAUGCGAUAAGUAGUGUGAAUUGCAGAAUUCAGUGAAUCAUCGAAUCUUUGAACGCACAUUGCGCCCCUUGGUAUUCCAUGGGGCAUGCCUGUUCGAGCGUCAUUUGUACCAUCAAGCUCUGCUUGGUGUUGGGUGUUUUGUCUCGCCUCUGCGUGUAGACUCGCCUUAAAACAAUUGGCAGCCGGCGUAUUGAUUUCGGAGCGCAGUACAUCUCGCGCUUUGCACUCAUAACGACGACGUCCAAAAGUACAUUUUUACACUCUUGACCUCGGAUCAGGUAGGGAUACCCGCUGAACUUAAGC